rnacentral:rRNA from 1 species
AUUGAACGCUGGCGGCAGGCCUAACACAUGCAAGUCGAGCGAGCGGCGGACGGGUGCGUACUGUAUGGGGACUGCCCGAUAGACGGGGAUAACUACUGGACACGGUAGCUAAUACCGCAUACUAUCGGAUAACCCAUAUGGGAUUAGCUAGUAGGUGAGGUAAGGGCUCACCUAGGCGACGAUCCCUAGCUGGUCGGAGAGGAUGAUCAGCGACACUGGGACUGAGACACGGCCCAGACUCCUACGGAGGCAGCAGUGGGGAAUAUUGCACAAUGGGCGCAAGGCUGAUGAGGCGAUGCGGCGUGGAUGAAGAAGGCACUAGGGUUGUAAAGUACUUGCAGUCGGGAGGCGUUACCGACCGAAGAAGCAACGGCUAACUCCGUGCCAGCAGCCGCGGUAAUAC